UACGUAGGGGGCGAGCGUUGUCCGGAUUCAUUGGGCGUAAAGAGCUCGUAGGCGGUUCGGCAAGUCGGGUGUGAAAACUCCAGGCUCAACCUGGAGACGCCACCCGAUACUGCUGUGACUCGAGUCCGGUAGGGGACCACGGAAUUCCUGGUGUAGCGGUGAAAUGCGCAGAUAUCGGGAGGAACACCUGUGGCGAAGGCGGCUUUCUGGGCCCUACCUGACGCUGAGACGCGAAAGCGUGGGGGAGCGAACCGG
rnacentral:rRNA from 1 species